UACAGAGACUGCGAGCGUUAUUCGGAUUCACUGGGCGUAAAGGGUGCGUAGGCGGUCGGGUAAGUCUGGCGUGAAAUCUCACAGCUUAACUGUGAAACUGCAUUGGAUACUAUCCGGCUCGAGGAAUGGAGGGGAGACUGGAAUACUUGGUGUAGCAGUGAAAUGCGUAGAUAUCAAGUGGAACACCAGUGGCGAAGGCGAGUCUCUGGACAUUUCCUGACGCUGAGGCACGAAAGCCAGGGGAGCAAACGGG
rnacentral:rRNA from 1 species